GAGGAAUUACAGCUAAUAGCACUGAUAAUAGUUCUGUAGCAAGGUAUGCGCUUCAGCACAACAGUAUAUACACAGAGACCGCAAGUAGAUCCGAAUGCGGAUUUUCUUUUCUAUCAGAAACCAGAAAAAUGAAAAAGAUUCAUAUCAUUGGGAUACAGAAAUUCCUAAGGUACAAAAUUGAUAAUGAUGUUUCAGCUAUUAUAAUCCAACACUGCAGAGAGAUGGAAGUCUUGUCGUAGUGACAAGACGUAGGCAAUUGGAACCACCAUCCAGCGCUUGGGAAUUCAUUGUUAGCUUCCAUAUCAUCAAAAUCUUGGAGCUCCACCAAUCGUUGCUUCAGGCAACCUUUCAAUAGAGUACUUGUGUUGAGUGAUGUACAUGAUUGGUACACCAGGGACCUUGCGUAUUCUACGUUUCAAAUCUCGAUCACAUGUUGCGACAAUAUAGCACUUGUGCUGUGUAACUCUCUCAACAAUACAAUCAUCGGCAUAUGUCCCUUUGUGAGUACAGGGAAGCCUUUCGAAUCGGGGAUCUUUUGCAAUUCUAAGAGCAACACGGUAUUUCUGACCCAGCUUCUCAAGCUCAGCCAUGACACAGUCUGUAAUGCAAGGAGUACAUUUGGCAUACAAGCAAUCCAUCAUCCCUUUCUCCAGGUCCAAUUUAUUCUGAAUAGAGAAAUUAAUAAAGUUAGUAUCAACUAAAACAAGAUACGGCGGCCCUAAAGCUGUGUUGUACUUGAAGAAGAGUGCAGAAGAAACAUAAGGCACGUUUCUUGGGAGCUUCUCUUUAGUUAAAUCUUUCUUAUUAGGGUUCAAAACUGCCUCUUUAUGCUCCUUGAUUGCUUUGUGAGUAACCAUUUUCUUCAUCACUGCAAAUUUGGGAGCCUUUUUUGCUUUCCCCAUUUUUGGUUCUCAAAAAUCUGAAACUGGACAAAGGGGUUCUGCAGUGCAAUUUCAAGAAUGUGCUCCAAUUCUCAAAACCCUAACGUGAUAUAGAGCGGGUCCGGG
rnacentral:misc_RNA from 1 species